rnacentral:SRP_RNA from 1 species
ACCAGCCACUGUGGCACAUGCCUGUAGUCCCAACUACUCGGGAGCCUGAGGACAGAAGAUGCUUGAACUCAGGAGUUCUGGGCUGUAGUGCAUUUUGCUGAUAGGGUGUCCAUACUAAGUUUGGCAUCCAAACUUAGUGACCUUUUGGGAUGGGGGAACCACCAUGUUGCCUAAGGAGGGGUGAACCUGCCCGGGUCACAAACGGAGCAAGUCAAAAUUCCUAUGCUGAUCGGUAGUGGGAUGGUGCCUGUGAACAGCCACUGCGCGUCACUCUGGGCAAUGUAGCAAGACCUUGUCUUUU